rnacentral:rRNA from 1 species
UGAGAGGUUGAACGGCCACAUUGGGACUGAGACACGGCCCAGACUCCUACGGGAGGCAGCAGUGGGGAAUAUUGCCCAAUGGGGGAAACCCUGAUGCAGAGACGCCGCGUGGAGGAAGAAGGUCUUGGGAUUGUAAACUCCUGUUGCUGAGGAAGAUAAUGACGGUACUCAACAAGGAAGUGACGGCUAACUACGUGCCAGCAG